rnacentral:rRNA from 1 species
UACGGGGGGGGGCAAGCGUUGUUCGGAAUUACUGGGCGUAAAGGGUGUGUAGGCGGCGUGUUAAGUCAGAUGUGAAAGCCCCAGGGCUCAACCUUGGAACUGCAUCCGAUACUGGCAUGCUAGAGAACUGGAGAGGAGUCUAGAAUUCACGGUGUAGCAGUGAAAUGCGUGGAUAUCGUGAGGAAUACCAAGUGCGAAGGCAGGACUCUGGACAUUUUCUGACGCUGAGACACGAAGGCCCAGGGGAGCGAACGGG